UGGGGAAUAUUGGACAAUGGGGGCAACCCUGAUCCAGCCAUGCCGCGUGAGUGAUGAAGGCCUUCGGGUUGUAAAGCUCUUUUGGCGGGGACGAUGAUGACGGUACCCGCAGAAUAAGCCCCGGCUAACUUCGUGCCAGCAGCCGCGGUAAGACGAAGGGGGCUAGCGUUGUUCGGAAUUACUGGGCGUAAAGCGAGUGUAGGUGGUUGUCAUAGUCAGGUGUGAAAGCCUUGAGCUCAACUCAAGAAAUGCACUUGAUACUGGGCGACUAGAGGACCGGAGAGGAUAGUGGAAUUCCCAGUGUAGUGGUGAAAUACGUAGAGAUUGGGAAGAACACCAGUGGCGAAGGCGGCUAUCUGGACGGUUUCUGACACUAAGACUCGAAAGCGUGGGGAGCAA
rnacentral:rRNA from 1 species